rnacentral:rRNA from 1 species
GAUGAACGCUGGCGGCGUGCCUAAUACAUGCAAGUCGAGCGAACAGACGAGGAGCUUGCUCCUCUGACGUUAGCGGCGGACGGGUGAGUAACACGUGGAUAACCUACCUAUAAGACUGGGAUAACUUCUGGAAACCGGAGCUAAUACCGGAUAAUAUAUUGAACCGCAUGGUUCAAUAGUGAAAGACGGGUUUGCUGUCACUUAUAGAUGGAUCCGCGCCGCAUUAGCUAGUUGGUAAGGUAACGGCUUACCAAGGCAACGAUGCGUAGCCGACCUGAGAGGGUGAUCGGCCACACUGGAACUGAGACACGGGCCAGACUCCUACGGGAGGCAGCAGUAGGGAAUCUUCCGCAAUAGGCGAAAGCCUGACGGAGCAACGCCACGUGAGUGAUGAAGGUCUUCGGAUCGUAAAACUCUGUUAUUAGGGAAGAACAAAUGUGUAAGUAACUAUGCACGUCUUGACGGUACCUAAUCAGAAAGCCACGGCUAACUACGUG